GACGUAGGGCGCGAGCGUUGUCCGGAUUUAUUGGGCGUAAAGAGCUCGUAGGCGGCUUGUCGCGUCGACUGUGAAACCCGACGGCUCAACCGCGGGCCUGCAGCCGAUACGGGCAGGCUGGAGUUCGGUAGGGGAGACUGGAAUUCCUGGUGUAGCGGUGAAAUGCGCAGAUAUCAGGAAGAACACCCGUGGCGAAAGCGGCUCUCUGGAACGGUACUGACGCUGAGACGCGAAAGCGUGGGGAGCGAACAGG
rnacentral:rRNA from 1 species